rnacentral:lncRNA from 1 species
GCCUGCCUGGGAUGUGGGCAUCCCCUCCUUAGGGCCUCAUGACUUCAGAGGCCUGAGGGAGUAGGCUUUUCAGAUAGUUCAUGGUUUCUUUCACUGUGUUUUCGAAAUUCUUCCCGAUUUUAUGGCUGAGUUUAGCCAAUUUUCCCUCUGAGGUGGUGGCUGGGGAAUAUUGGAAAAGACAGGGGCAAGGUAGUCCCACCCCCCCACACACACUCCAGCAAGGACUUUCCACUGUGCUGGCAAAGACAACCAACAGAUCCUCUGAUUUGCCUUUAAUUCCUGUUCCCCCUGCUGCUCCUUUUCUCUUUCUAACCCCAGCUGUUCCCCCUUCUGCUCCAACCCUGACUUUUUGUGGCUUCCUGUUUUCCCAGCCUCUUCCCCUCUCUCCUGGCUCCUACCAGCCCUGGGAGUGAAUCCUGUGGUCUCCUCUGAUUGAAGGGCACUGUUUCUGAAACUCUGCUCCUGGGGCAUGGGGUCAGGCAGCUGGAGAUUCUAUUUCCGUGGUGUCCUGGCAGAUCGGAUCACAGCAUCCUCUUCAGAAACCAGCUCUUCACUGGAGAUGGAAGCCUCCUUAGAAAGGUCCUUCUUGGAGACCCGGGGGUUGCUGAUGAUGAACUGGGCAGCUGGGACCAAGGAGAUGGAGGAGGUGAGGGCAGAGAAAGAGCGUGGUAAGGAGCAGCCAGCCAGCACUGUGUCGUAUCCCUUACCAUGAAGAGGAUAUCAGGGUUGAGUCAAGGCCCAGGAUUGAUGUUCCAUGCCAGCAUCCAAAUCCAUGAGCACCUGAUUUUGGAUGCCUUUGAAUAGGAUUUGCACUUCUAGCAAAUUCACCUUCUUAAUGAAAAGAGAUUAACUCUGCAAACACCUGUCCUGUGGUUUGGUGCAUAGGAGGGGGUUCAAUAAAUUUUGUUUCUUUUCUUUUUUUUCUUUUCUUUUCUUUUCUUUUCUUUUCUUUUCUUUUCUUUUCUUCCUUUCUCUCUCUCUCUCUCUCUCUCUCUCUUUCUUUCCUUCCUUCUUUCUUUGCCAUGCCUGAGGCAUGCAGGAGUUUCAGGGCCAGGGAUUGAACUCCCAGCCACAUCAGUGUUGACGCUGGAUCUUUAACCCCCUGCGCCACCAGGGAACCCCCAAAUAUUGGUUCUUUUCCUCUGAAUUUUGGGUAGUUCUUGAGUCUGCCUUCUCUGGCUUCUGUCAGGUAAAUUGGUGGGGCUGGGCGAAGUUAGCCUGAGAUUAAACCAUGCUGAUGGAUAAUCCACAAUGACGGGUCAUGGUCAAUGGUCAUGGCUUUAGGGCUGUGGGGGUGGGGAGCCUGGGGCCCAGGAGCAUCCUUAUCUCAAGGUGAGCUGAAACCUCUCACUUGCUAGGGUUCUGGUGUGAGAUGUGGUCCCCACUCCCAUCUCCAAGGACUAUGCAGCGUGAAGUGCUGUUCCAAUGGUUUCUGGCCCCUAGAGCUGGACCAAUUAGUUUAGUGGGAAGGAUUAACCCCCAGAGGGAUUGUCUUUGCGCCACUUCCUCUUCAGAUGGAGAGGCCAUCAUUUAUGUACUGGACAGUCUUUUAGCACUACGGGCUUACUCUAAAGGAUGCCAACAUGAGACUUACAGGCAGCUGUGGGAUGAGCCUCCAUGUCGACUUCAUCUUCUGGCUCUGAAAAAUAAGGGGUUAACAUCUCCAGAGGUCUUAAGACUUAAACAUGCAAGAUGCUCCAAUGCACCCCCUCCUGCCCCAGCAUUUUCCAUCUCCCUUAUCUUGCUCCAUGUUUUUCUUAGCAUUUCUAACAUACUCUCAUUUAUUGAAUAUGCCUAAUGUUUGUUUCUUCCCCUUAGAAUGUGAUCUCAACGAUGACCGAGGUCUCUGCAUUUUGAUAGUGUAUCUAAAGCACCUAGAGCUAGGUGCCUGGCACAGAGCAGGUGCUCGGUAAAUAGGUGCUGAAUGCGUGCGUGCAUAUGUCUUGCCUUCACUGUACAGAGGGAGGCAGAGAGGUCCACAGAAGGAUAGUGACUCUGCCUGGGGUGUCCAGCAGCAUCUGAGGCUGGAAUCAAAUCUGAAUCUCCAUGGAUCCAUAGUCUGCCCUGAUUUGGGUCCAGUUUGGCUCCUCUGGCCCCAGCUGCAGGCUUUCUGGGGUCAUGGGCCCCAGAUCCUUGCCUCCGUCUCCCAACCUUUCCACUCAGCACAUGACAAGGAUUAAGGAAAGCCCUUUGGAGCACUGAGGUCUCUCCAGCUGACAGCUCAGUGACCCUAGGGGACAGAAGGGAGUUUGAUGGAAGCCAGACUCACCCUUAAGGACGGCGAGAGAUGUGGACACCCAGCUGGCCAGCAGCAGGACGGCAAAGAGUUUCAUGGGUCUGGUGGAUCUAGAACGGGGCAAGAUGGAGCAGCAGACAAAGAGGCAUUGGGGACCUGGAGCCUGGGUCCAGGCCCGAGACUGAAGGACUUGACCUCCUGUGCCCUCCUCUGGCUGAAGGAUUUGAUGAUCUCUCUGGAACCUAUUUCUGGAUCACUUCCAAGAAGGUGGGGGCUGCUGCCCUGUGAUGGAACCUCCUGUCCUCAGCAGGGAGCCUGGCUUGCUGGACACAUGGGGGUCCCACAGAGAGUAAGGUCCCACCUGCAGACCACAGAGAGCUCUGGACUGUGCCAAUCGAGCUGGGGCCUCCUCUAUCUUGGGUAGCAGGGGUCAAGAGCCUGGGGGCUGGCAGUCAACCUCCAAUUGCUCAGGCGCUGCUUGCUCCUUAGGCCAGUCUGAGAGGUGGAGGUGGUUUGUCUUGGGCUGCCUCCCACCUGCCCUUCAGCCCCGAUUCCCUCCCUGAGCGGCCCCCCUACCCCCCCGCCCACUGACCAGCAGCCUCCCUUCUCACAUCCCCAGGGCAGGGACAGAAGAGGGCCUUCACAGUGUCCUUGGGGACAUGGUUGCAGCCCUGCAGGCUUCUUUCCUAAGACUCCUAAUAAGCUGCAAGUUUGGGUCUCCAUCCUUUGCAGUCUAGGCUGUUUCUCACUGGUUCUCCCUGACCUUUGGGCCUCCAGGCCGUCUCCGCUAGAGCCAUUCUCUGUGCUAAUGCUGGAGGAAUCCCUCCAAGUCAGGCCACUUCCCAGCUCAAAAGUCUCUAAUGACCAUCCCUAUCAGGAGGAUAAAGUCCAAACUCCCUGGCCACGUGUUCAAGAAAUACUAUAAAACUGGAUUGUGAUU